rnacentral:rRNA from 1 species
AGUGAACGCUGGCGGUAGGCCUAACACAUGCAAGUCGAACGGCAGCACAGUAAGAGCUUGCUCUUACGGGUGGCGAGUGGCGGACGGGUGAGGAAUACAUCGGAAUCUACUUUUUCGUGGGGGAUAACGUAGGGAAACUUACGCUAAUACCGCAUACGACCUACGGGUGAAAGCAGGGGAUCUUCGGACCUUGCGCGAUUGAAUGAGCCGAUGUCGGAUUAGCUAGUUGGCGGGGUAAAGGCCCACCAAGGCGACGAUCCGUAGCUGGUCUGAGAGGGUUAAUAGUCACACUGGAACUGAGACACGGUCCCAACUCCUAAGGGAGGCAACAGUGGGGAAUAUUGGACAAUGGGCGAAAGCCUGAUCCAGCCCUGCCGCGUGGGUGAAGAAGGUCUUCGGAUUGUAAAGCCCUUUUUGUUGGGAAGAAAAGCAGUAAGUUAAUACCCCGCUGUUUUGACGUUACCCAAAGAAAAAACCCCGGCUAACUUCGUG